rnacentral:rRNA from 1 species
UACGAAGGGUGCUAGCGUUGUUCGGAAUUACUGGGCGUAAAGCGCGCGUAGGCGGCUAUUCAAGUCAGGGGUGAAAUCCUUGGGCUCAACCCAAGAAUUGCCUUUGAAACUGAAUAGCUAGAGUGUCGGAGGGGAUAGCGGAAUUCCUAAUGUAGAGGUGAAAUUCGUAGAUAUUAGGAGGAACACCGGUGGCGAAGGCGGCUAUCUGGACGACAACUGACGCUGAGGCGCGAAAGCACGGGGAUCAAACAGA